AUGUUUGUGUUACCAUCCAAUCCACUGACAACAUGUUUCUGUUAUUGUGGUGCUUGCUUAACUCACUGCCAUCUUACAUUCUGUUCUUUUUCGUAUACAGCUCGCCAGAAGAAGGCUGUGAAGAUCUUCCCCUGCCCUACCUCUGGACCUCUUCGCCCCAUCGUGCAAUGCCAGACCCGCAAGUACAACAUUAAGGCGAGGGCUGGCAGAGGCUUUACCCUUGAGGAGCUUAAGGUGAUGAUCAUUUCCUUGCUUUGUUUCCUUCAUCUCUGA
rnacentral:rRNA from 1 species